rnacentral:rRNA from 1 species
AUGUGUGUCCCUAAGAAACAAAGAAAGAUGAGAUUUUGUGAUACUCAUAGUUUAAAUUUGGCAAUGCUCGCCAAACAGGCGUGGCGUCUUCUUGGGAAUCUUGAUUUCUUAUGUGCUACUAUUCUGAGGGCUAAGUACUACCCCGAUGAUAAUUUGUUGACUAUUAAGUUAAAGGAGGGCUCUUCUUUUACCUAG